AUGGCAGAAGGGCUCUUCUCCAUGGCUCACCCGUGGGCCUCCGCCUUUGGCAUCCUAGGCAACAUCAUAUCCUUCCUGGUGUUCCUCGCGCCCACGCCGACGUUCCUGCGGGUGUACCGGAAGAAGUCGACGGAGGGGUUCAGCGCGGUGCCGUACGUGGUGGCGCUCUUCAGCUGCAUGCUGUGGAUCUUCUACGCGCUGGUCAAGACCAACUCCAGCCCGCUGCUCACCAUCAACGCCUUUGGCUGCGUCGUCGAGGGCUUCUACAUCCUGCUCUACGUGGUGUACGCGCCCAGGCACGCCAGGCACCGCGCCCUCGCCUUCUUCCUCCUCCUCGACGUCGCCGCCUUCGCCCUCAUCGUCGCCGUCACCGUGUUCCUCGUGCCCCAGCCCAGCCGCGUCAAGGUCCUCGGCAGCGUCUGCCUCGCCUUCUCCAUGGCCGUCUUCGUCGCCCCGCUCAGCGUCAUCUUCGUGGUGAUCAAGACCAAGAGCGCCGAGUACAUGCCCUUCUCGCUCUCCUUCUUCCUCACCCUCAGCGCCGUCGCCUGGUUCUUCUAUGGCCUCUUCACCAAGGACAUCUACGUCACCCUCCCGAACGUGGGCGGGUUCUUCUUUGGGGUGGCCCAGAUGACGCUCUACUUCUGCUACCGCAAGCCGGACACGUCGGCCCUGGUGCUGCCGACGGGGAUCCACGACGUGUCCACGGAGCCGGCGGCGCAGCAGGAGGUGGAGCUGCCGGAGGGCACCCACCCGGCGGUGGCCAUGCUGACGGUGAGCACGCUGCCGAUGCUGGCGGAGCUGCAGAAGAUGGAGCAGGAGAUCAGCUCGCCCACCCCGCGCAAGGGCUACAUCAAGGCUUUCUGA
rnacentral:rRNA from 1 species